CAGCAGUUAAGAAUCUUGCACAAUGGGCGCAAGCCUGAUGCAGCGACGCCGCGUGGAUGAUGAAGGCCUUCGGGUUGUAAAGUCCGGUAAGCAGGGAAGAAUAAGCGCCGGGUAAUAUUCGGAGCGAUGACGGUACCUGCCUAAAGCCCCGGCUAACUACGUG
rnacentral:rRNA from 1 species